UACGGAGGGUGCGAGCGUUGUUCGGAAUCACUGGGCGUAAAGCGCGUGUAGGCGGUCUGCUAAGUCUGAUGUGAAAGCCCGGGGCUCACCCCCGGAAGUGCAUUGGAAACUGACAGACUGGAGUCCCGGAGAGGAGGGUGGAAUUCCUGGUGUAGCGGUGAAAUGCGUAGAUAUUGGGAGGAACAUCGGUGGCGAAGGCGGCUACCUGGACGGGUACUGACGCUGAGGCGCGAAAGCUAGGGGGGCAAACAGG
rnacentral:rRNA from 1 species